GUGGGACGUGUGGUGUCACAGUGGGAUGCAGGGCCAUGGGGGAACAUGUGGGGGGCACAUAUGGGGACACAUAGGGGGAUGUGAGGAGGACACAGGGGACAUGGGGGGUUCACAAGGGUGGCAGGAAGGGCCAUGGGGGGCCAUGGGGCUGAUAUGGGACAUGGGGGACAUGGAGGACACAGGGGGACACAUAGGAGGACAUGGGAGGACCCAGGAGGAGCUGGGUUGACAUGGGGUGACCUGGGAGGACAUAGGGCAAGGGAGGACCUAGGAGGACACAGGAUGACCUGGGAGGACUAGGGGUGACCCGUGAGGAUGCAGGAGGAUCUAGGAGGCCACGGUAGGCCACUGGGUGACAUGGGGUGACCCAGGAGGACCUGGGAGGACCCGGGGUGACAUGGGAGACCACGGGGUGACCCAGGGUGACAUGGGAGGUCCCAGGAAGAUCUGGGAGGCCAUAGGGUGACCAAGAAGGCCCCCAGAAGUUCCUGGGAGGACCUGGGGAGACACAGGGUGACCCGGGUGACCGGGUGUCCCCGGGCACCCGCGCUGACGGCCCGUGGCAGCAUACCGCAUCCACGUGAACGUCCGCACCGUCACCAUCCUCCACGCGCUCAAGGAGGGCUUCAAGGUCGACAUCCGGGGCAAGACGGAGCUCAAGGGCAAAGGCGUGGAGGACACGUACUGGCUCGUGGGCCGGGAGGGCUUCAAUAAGCCCAUCCCCACCCCUCCCGACCUGCUGCCCGGCGCCAGCAACCACGGCAUCAGCCUGGACGAGAUCCCGCCCGAGCGGCGCCGCAAGCUGGAGAAGGCCCGGCCGGGGCAGGUGCCCAAAUAGCCACGGGCUGAGGGGCCAGCUAGAGCUGCCAGGGUUUGGAGUCCUCCAGACCAUAGAGACCUGUCCCCAGGGUGACCUCCAUAGAGCCACUCUGUGCCUGUGUGCAGCCGUUUUCUAUGGUCAUAGAGCACUUCUCCAGCACCAAGGGCUUGGAGUCUUCCAGACCACAGAGGUGGAGCUAGAGGGGCCCCUUCCCCGGAGCCGCUCUGCACUACCAUGGAGCCCUGCUUGGCGGUCCCCCCUCCGUGAGCAUAGAGACUGCCGAGCUGCAGCUAGAGCAACCCCUCCAGAGAGCCAUUCUGCACCGCCAUGGCGCCCUGCUCUAUGGUCUUCUCCUUCCCGGAUCCCCUGCGACCAUAGAGCCCUGUGCCCAGAGCGGUGCCCCAGCGCAUGCCCCGGGGCAUUGUGGGACUUCAGCCAACGAGCCUGGUGCAUCAUGGGACACUGGCUGACUUCUGGACUGCUGCGGCUGCUGACUCCAGGGCAUGAUGGGAGCCGGGUCGGCCCAGGCCCGCCCUUUGCCUCCCACCAGGAGCAUCAUGGGAAGGAGGUCCUGGGCUCAGGGGCAUGAUGGGACAUGGGGGCCUCCAGCCCCUCCCCCAAGGGAAAAAAAAAAAUUCUGGCAGUCAAAAAUUCCCCCCUUAAAGGGAUUUUCCUCCUUUUAAAGGGGCAGAAUUGGAGGGCGGGGGAGUGGGCACUGUUUUUUGUCCGGGGAAGCAAAACACUCUUAAAGGGGUGGGCGGGACCCAUGGCCCAAUGGGAGCAUUUGUCUGCCGACAAAAAAAAAAAAGGCUCUUAAAGGGGUGAGGACAGGCCCGCAGGGCCAAUAGUCUUCUAUCUUUAGACAGAAAAAAAAAAAAAAAAACAGUCUUAAAAGGGAUGGCAAUGGAGGUGGUGGCUCAAUAUUUGUCUGCAGGCGAAAACAAAAAAGGAGACUUAAAGGGGCAGGGGCGAGGGCAGGAGCUUCUUAAAGGGACAGGCUCUCCCUGCAGCCCCGGGCAGCGCAGAGGGGCCCAAGGCUCUUAAAGGGGUGGGUGGCCAUGUUGGAUGACCCAUGACCCCUCCACUGGGCAUCAAUGGCGCUUCUUAAAGGGACGGUUGACUGUUAUUUUAUAGGCUCGAUGUUGAUAUCUAGCUCUAUGUUUAAAGGGGCAGGUGUGUCCCCCCCCCCACGCCCGCCAUUUUAUCUCCCCAAUAAGCUGUUCUUAAAGGGAUGAUUGCGUCAGUCAUCUUGCAAUGCUGCCUCUCCAGAAUAUUUGUCUGUAGAUGAAAAAAAAUUGAAGCUUAAAGGGAUGCCCCAGGGGGCUGGUUUGGGCC
rnacentral:lncRNA from 1 species